GACUUGUAAUUCCAUAUACAGAAAGAAGUAGGAAAAUGAAUCAGUGCAAAUCUGCAUUAUGUACCAGUAAUUUCCUUCUUUUUUUUUUUUCCAGCACUGAUUUUCCCAUAAGACAAAAGUUUAUGUAGAACAGGGCUGGAGUUAGCAGAGGUCCUUUACUACUAUGAUAUUAUAGCACCAAUCAGUCACUGGGGUUAAUAGAUGGUGUACUGCGUUUGACUUCCAAUGUCUUAUUUCAUAAAGGCUAGUAAGAGCAGUGGUAAUGCAUAACUUCCAAGUGUCCCUAUUUAGGAGGGACAGUCCCUAUUUUCUAGGAGCUCCAUUUUGUUGGUGCAUCUGAAUGUAUAAAAGUUCAACAGCAAUAAAACUCACAGUAAUGUUACUUUAAAC